rnacentral:rRNA from 1 species
UACGAAGGGUGCAAGCGUUAAUCGGAAUUACUGGGCGUAAAGCGUGCGUAGGCGGUUUUGUAAGUCUGACGUGAAAGCCCCGGGCUUAACCUGGGAAUUGCGUUGGAGACUGCAAGGCUUGAAUCUGGCAGAGGGGGGUAGAAUUCCACGUGUAGCAGUGAAAUGCGUAGAGAUGUGGAGGAACACCGAUGGCGAAGGCAGCCCCCUGGGUCAAGAUUGACGCUCAUGCACGAAAGCGUGGGGAGCAAACAGG